GUUUUCCCAUUAGCAGCACCUGUACUAAAGUUUGAACAAUACAGUGGAGAUUAGCAUGGCCCCUGUGCAAGGAUGACACACAUUUGUGAAGCGUUCCGUGUUUUU